CUACGGAGGAUCCGAGCGUUAUCCGGAUUUAUUGGGUUUAAAGGGAGCGUAGGUGGAUUGUUAAGUCAGCUGUGAAAGUUUGCGGCUCAACCGUAAAAUUGCAGUUGAAACUGGCAGUCUUGAGUACAGUAGAGGUGGGCGGAAUUCGUGGUGUUGCGGUGAAAUGCUUAGAUAUCACGAAGAACUCCGAUUGCGAAGGCAGCUCACUAGACUGUUACUGACACUGAUGCUCGAAAGUGUGGGUAUCAAACAGGAUUAGAUACCCUGGUAGUCCACACAGUAAACGAUGAAUACUCGCUGUUUGCGAUAUACAGUAAGCGGCCAAGCGAAAGCAUUAAGUAUUCCACCUGGGGAGUACGCCGGCAACGGUGAAACUCAAAGGAAUUGACGGGG
rnacentral:rRNA from 1 species